AAAUUGGCAGUGUAAUUGGAAACACACCUUCUUUUAGAGGAGGAGAAAGGGGUUUAAAUCCCUUCUAGAAUU
rnacentral:tRNA from 1 species